rnacentral:tRNA from 1 species
UGGCGUGUAGCUCAGGGGUUAGAGCACUGUCCUGAUAAGACAGGGGUCGGUGGUUCGAUUCCACCCACACCAACCA